CUUGAACAGGGAGAGAUGAAAAAGAGGUUCUGUGGAACAUCAGGAUCGUCUGCUUAGGGGAUUUUAUGACUACAGGUCUUUUUUCAGCCCUUGUAAACAACUCUGAGGAAAUGCAGCAUCCAAAACACCCCGAGGGAGCUGAGGAGACCAGGCAGGAGGUUGGCUCAGACUCCCUCACAAGGGAAACCAGAAAGUGAGCUCCCAUCCCUGCAGGAGGCUGUCCCCCCACAGCUCUGAUCCAAGGAUCAGGAAAGGAACAGUAAGCACCUCACUGCAUGCUACUACCCACUGGCAGAAAACUCAGCCCUCUCACAUAGUGGGGAGGGGUCGUGAUGACCCGGGGACACCAGGAUUAUAUGUGGAGGACGGGCACUCAGUAUGUGCACUCAGAUCCACAGCGAAAUUUCACAGCUGGCCUGAUCACAACAAUGGACUUUCCUUAAACCCUGGCAGUGUCCAGGAACCUCUCACCUGUUCAGUGUAUAUAGGGGGGAUGUUGGUCUCCAAGCUUCUUGCUUA